GACGAACCGAGCGAACGUUAUUCGGAAUCACUGGGCUUAAAGGGCGCGUAGGCGGGCCGUCAAGUCAGGGGUGAAAGCCCCCAGCUCAACUGGGGAAGUGCCUCUGAUACUGGCGGUCUCGAGGGAGGUAGGGGCGUGCGGAACUUCCGGUGGAGCGGUGAAAUGCGUAGAUAUCGGAAGGAACACCGGUGGCGAAAGCGGCGCGCUGGACCUCUUCUGACGCUGAUGCGCGAAAGCCAGGGGAGCAAACGGG
rnacentral:rRNA from 1 species